AGCCUUGUAUUCAUUUAAUGAUUAUAGAAUGCAAUUCUGUAGGAGUAGUUAAACUACUAAGGCUU
rnacentral:tRNA from 1 species